rnacentral:rRNA from 1 species
CCAGACUCCUACGGGAGGCAGCAGUGGGGAAUAUUGGGCAAUGGAGGCAACUCUUACCCAGCAAUGCCGCGUGAAUGAAGAAGGUCUUCGGAUUGUAAAGUUCUUUAAUUGGGGACGAAAAAAAUGACGGUACCCAAGGAAUAAGCCCCGGCUAACUCCGUGCCAGCAGCCGCGGUAAUACGGAGGAUGCGAGCGUUAUCCGGAUUUAUUGGGUUUAAAGGGUGCGUAGGCGGUCCGUUAAGCCAGCGGUAAAAUGGCGGGGCGCAACCCUGUCGAGCCGUUGAAACUGGCAGACUUGAGUUGGCGAGAAGUACGCGGAAUGCGCGGUGUAGCGGUGAAAUGCAUAGAUAUCGCGCAGAACUCCGAUUGCGAAGGCAGCGUACCGGCGCCCUACUGACGCUCAGGCACGAAAGCGUGGGUAUCGAACAGGAUUAGAUACCCUGGUACAA